UCGAGAAUAUUGGUCAAUGGACGAAAGUCUGAACCAGCGACACCGCGUGUUCGAAGAAGUCCUUCGGGAUGUAAAGAACUUUUCUGGAAGAGGAAUCCGCCGCAAGGCGGAUGACAGUACUCCAGGAAUAAGGGGGUGCAAACUCUGUGCCAGCAGCAGCGGUAAUACAGAGCCCCCGAGCGUUAUCCGGAUUUAUUGGGCGUAAAGGGUCCGUAGGCGGCAAAGUAAGUCUGUAGUUAAAUAUCCAGGGCUCAACCUCGGAUGUGCUACGGAAACUACUUAGCUAGAAGACGUUAGAGGUUGAUGGAACGGUAGGUGUAGGGGUGAAAUCCGUUGAUAUCUACCGGAACACCAAAAGCGAAAGCAUUCAACUGGGGCGGUCUUGACGCUGAGGGACGAAAGCGUGGGGAGCAAAAAGG
rnacentral:rRNA from 1 species